rnacentral:rRNA from 1 species
UACGUAGGGUGCAAGCGUUGUCCGGAAUUAUUGGGCGUAAAGAGCUCGUAGGCGGUUUGCCGCGUCUGCUGUGAAAACGCGAGGCUCAACCUCGCGCCUGCAGUGGGUACGGGCAGACUAGAGUGUGGUAGGGGAGAUUGGAAUUCCUGGUGUAGCGGUGGAAUGCGCAGAUAUCAGGAGGAACACCGAUGGCGAAGGCAGAUCUCUGGGCCAUUACUGACGCUGAGGAGCGAAAGCGUGGGGAGCGAACAGG